AUGAAUUACUUAGCCUGGAACUGUCGAGGCUUGGGGUUGGACUCGAUAGUUGGCAAACUCAGGGACCUGAUACGGUCAUACAACCCAGCGGUGGUUUUUCUUUCAGAAACGAAGAAAAAGGCGAGAGCAAUGGAGAAGAUGAUGUGGAGUUUGGGGUUCAGAAGUGGUGUUGCAGUAGAUUGUCAAGGCUUGAGUGGGGGUUUGGCUCUAUGGUGGAGAGAAACCGUG
rnacentral:rRNA from 1 species